CAUGGUCUUAGCUUGCUAAGGCCGAUGGCGACCGGCGCACGGGUGAGUAAACGCGUAUCCAACCUGCCUUACACUCUUGGACAGCCUUCUGAAAGGAAGAUUAAUACAAGAUGGCAUCAUGAGUCCGCAUGUUCACAUGAUUAAAGGUAUUCCGGUAGACGAUGGGGAUGCGUUCCAUUAGAUAGUAGGCGGGGUAACGGCCCACCUAGUCUUCGAUGGAUAGGGGUUCUGAGACGGUUAACCCCCACAUUGGUACUGAGACACGGACCAAACUCC
rnacentral:rRNA from 1 species